GGCUCCAUGGUCAAGCGGUUAAGACAUCGCCCUUUCACGGCGGUAACGGGAGUUCGAUUCUCCCUGGAGUCA
rfam:Lachnospiraceae bacterium TWA4 TWA4_contig00301, whole genome shotgun sequence.